ensembl:snRNA U6 U6 spliceosomal RNA
GUGCCCACUUGGACAGUACUAGAAGGAUACAAAGAAGAUUAGCAUGGCCCCUGCCCAAGGAUGACACCCAAAUUCAUGAAGCAUUCCACAUUUUU